rnacentral:rRNA from 1 species
CCUACGGGAGGCAGCAGUGGGGAAUAUUGCGCAAUGGACGAAAGUCUGACGCAGCGACGCCGCGUGAGGGAUGAAGCUUUUCGGAGUGUAAACCUCUGUUGCUCGGGACGAACAUCCCUUUUCGAGGGGACUGACGGUACCGAGUGAGGAAGCACCGGCUAACUCUGUGCCAGCAGCCGCGGUAAUACAGAGGGUGCGAGCGUUGUCCGGAAUCACUGGGCGUAAAGGGCGCGUAGGUGGUUUGAUAAGGGUGUGGUGAAAGUCCGGGGCUCAACCCCGGAUCUGCCGUGCCGACUGUCAAACUCGAGGACUGUAGAGGCAGACGGAAUUCCGGGUGUAGCGGUGGAAUGCGUAGAGAUCCGGAGGAAGACCGGUGGCGAAGGCGGUCUGCUGGGCAGUUUCUGACACUGAGGCGCGACAGCGUGGGGAGCAAACAGGAUUAGAUACCCUGGUAGUCCACGCCGUAAACGAUGGGUACUAGGUGCCUGGGGGAGCGACCCUCUGGGUGCCGGCGCUAACGCAGGAAGUACCCCGCCUGGGGAGUACGACCGCAAGGUUGAAACUCAAAGGAAUUGACGG